rnacentral:rRNA from 1 species
UACGGAGGGUGCGAGCGUUAAUCGGAAUUACUGGGCGUAAAGCGCACGCAGGCGGCUUGUUAAGCUAGAGGUGAAAGCCCCGCGCUCAACGUGGGAACUGCCUUUAGAACUGGCAGGCUAGAGUCUUGGAGAGGGGAGUGGAAUUCCAGGUGUAGCGGUGAAAUGCGUAGAAUAUCUGGAGGACAUCAGUGGCGAAGGCGGCUCCCUGGCCAAAGACUGACGCUCAUGUGCGAAAGUGUGGGUAGCGAAACAGGGAUUAGAUACCCGGUAGUCC